UACGUAGGGACCAAGCGUUGUUCGGAUUUACUGGGCGUAAAGGGCGCGUAGGCGGCAAUUCAAGUCAUCUGUGAAAUCUCCGGGCUUAACUCGGAACGGUCAGAUGAUACUGCUUUGCUAGAGUGCGGAAGGGGCAAUCGGAAUUCUUGGUGUAGCGGUGAAAUGCGUAGAGAUCCGGAAGAACACCGGAGGCGAAGGCGGCUGCUGGGCUUG
rnacentral:rRNA from 1 species